rnacentral:lncRNA from 1 species
UUUUUUUUUCUGGUGAGGUCAACAAGAAAUCAAUGUAAUAAUCAAAGAAAUGAUGAAGAAUUACACAUGAAUCCGAUGAUCCGCCGUCAAACUCAGUUGAAAUACUCGAUAUGCUGGACACAAACUCAAAUUAUCAAAUUCCAUCAGAAGAAUCAAACUUUAUUUGAUUUUUGGAAAGAAAAACUUUGAUUCCGCUAAUAGUUGACCUGGUUUUCUUUAACGAAAAGGUCAAUCUUCUGAAAGGAUAAGGUAUCCCAAAAGAUUCAUGGUACAAAUAAAAUCUUCCUUUUCUCAGUAUUUCGAAAAUCCCAAAUUAACAUACAACCAUAUGACUAACUAAUAAUCACAUCAUCAAUAAGCCCAGAUCAUAAAAUCAUCUAUGUGCAUAAUAGAAACCCAUAAGAGUAUAAUCAAAACAAGAAAAAGAAAAUAAAGAAUCACCUGAACUGGAUUUAAAGUUAUUCACAGCAUCUUCUGAAUUAUUGGCUUCCCUACUGAAAAAUAAAAUAAAAAUAAAAAUACAAAGCUUCAGAAUAAACGAUAUUCUUUUCUUUGUAAGUCUAAAAUGUGAAGAAGAACAAAACAAGAAAGAAAAGAUGGAUGGAAUUAAAAUAAAUAAGGCGUUUACUAGAGGAAUUUAAUAGUUUUUAUUUUAAGUGAAUAUAAAAGGAAGAAGCAAAUUAUAGAUUAUGGUUGAAAAGUCUACCAGCGCGUUCCUUGAUGUCUGUCAGUUUCUGUUGUUUUGUCGAUUUUUCUGUGUAACGUAGUCAGAUUCCAAAAUCAAGCUACAGUGAGAUUUUUUUUGCUAGAAUUUUUAUGGAUUUACAUAUUUUAGAGGAUAUUUCUUAAAAAAAAGAAAAUUUCCUUCUUUUUUUAAAAAUAAAAAUUACUUCCACCCAAAAAAAAUAUUUUUCUUAAAAAUAAAAAAAAUUAAGCAUAUUUUAAAAAGUUGAAAAAUGUUUUCCAUGAAUAAAAUUAGCAAUCAAAUACCUCAAGUAGGAAUUGAGUGAAAAAGUCAUAUUUUUCAUGGAAAAUAAAUAUAAUCAAGUUUGAUUGCUAUUUUUUUCCAUAGAAAAUAUUUUUCAACUUUUCAAAAUAUGUCUAAUUUUCGUUUUUUUAAGGAAAAUAUUUUUCUUGGGUAGAUGUGGUUUUUGUUUCUUCAAAACAAGGAAAAUAUAUUCUUUUCCAGUGUGAUAUUGUUCAUGCCAAUCAAACACACUCUUAUUAUAAAUUGACUACCCAUUUAAUAUGUCUUUCUAAAUUUUUCCAGUGACACAAGAUGACAGCAAUAGUAGUUGUGGAAUUGUGAAAUAUAAUGUGUUCACGAUAUUUUUUCUUUAUUUAACUUAAUCAUUUAAAGUAUUUUCAGAUUCAUGUCGCUGCUACGGUUACUUAUGGACUAAGUUGAUGGCGGGAAAAAGGGGUGAAGUGGGUGAGGAUAAUUUUAUCCUUGUUUAUGGAAAGAAAAAAGGUAUUUUUGUAUUUAAUUAACGGAAAAAUUGACGGAAUAUGGACGGAAGGACGUCCAGCGCAAAGAAAGGUUGAAAUGAGGGCAAAAAUGCCAAAAAAUGAAAGGUAGGGACGUUUUCCACAAUAGACUUGAAAGGUAGGGACGUUUUGUGCCAAUUACCCUUUAAUUAACGGAAAAACUAACGGAAUAUGGACGGAAGGACGUCCAGCGCAAAGAAAUGUUGAAAUGAGGGCAAAAAUGCCAAAAAAUGAAAGGUAGGGACGUUUUCCACAAUAGACUUGAAAGGUAAGGACGUUUUAUGCCAAUUACCCGAGCAUUUUAACGGAGAGUUGACAGAAGGACGUUUUGUGCAAAAAAAGAUAAAGGUAAGGGUGUAAUCCGUCAAAAAAUGAAAGAUAGGGAUAUUUUUCACAAAAAUAUUGAAAAGUAUGGAUGUUUUGUGCUAAUUACGCUAGUUUUUAUUUUAAGUGAAUAUAAAAGGAAGAAGCAAAUUAUAGAUUAUGGUUGAAAAGUCUACCAGCGCGUUCCUUGAUGUCUGUCAGUUUCUGUUGUUUUGUCGAUUUUUCUGUGUAACGUAGUCAGAUUCCAAAAUCAAGCUACAGUGAUCUUUUUUUUCCUUUUUUUUUCCUGGUGAGGUCAACAAGAAAUCAAUGUAAUAAUCAAAGAAAUGAUGAAGAAUUACACAUGAAUCCGAUGAUCCGCCGUCAAACUCAGUUGAAAUACUCGAUAUGCUGGACACAAACUCAAAUUAUCAAAUUCCAUCAGAAGAAUCAAACUUUAUUUGAUUUUUGGAAAGAAAAACUUUGAUUCCGCUAAUAGUUGACCUGGUUUUCUUUAACGAAAAGGUCAAUCUUCUGAAAGGAUAAGGUAUCCCAAAAGAUUCAUGGUACAAAUAAAAUCUUCCUUUUCUCAGUAUUUCGAAAAUCCCAAAUUAACAUACAACCAUAUGACUAACUAAUAAUCACAUCAUCAAUAAGCCCAGAUCAUAAAAUCAUCUAUGUGCAUAAUAGAAACCCAUAAGAGUAUAAUCAAAACAAGAAAAAGAAAAUAAAGAAUC